UACGUAGGCAGCAAGCGUUUGUUCGGAGUUACUGGGCGUAAAGAGUAUGUAGGCGGUUGGGUAAGUUUGGUGUGAAAUCUCCCGGCUUAACUGGGAGGGUGCGCUAAAGACUGCCUGGCUCGAGUGUGGGAGAGGAAAGCGGAAUUCCUGGUGUAGCGGUGAAAUGCGUAGAUAUCAGGAGGAACACCUGCGGUGUAGACGGCUUUCUGGACCAUAACUGACGCUGAGAUACGAAAGCGUGGGUAGCAAACAGG
rnacentral:rRNA from 1 species